UCACCUGGUUUCUGACGGGGUCCAGCCAGAGGGAGGCACUGGCAGAAGACCAAAGGGGAUCAGGAAAGGAGAGACCAGGGUGUUUCUCCUCCCCUCUGCCUUCAGAGGUGUCUCUGGCAGAGAAUUUGCAUUUCUUCCUUGGUUCUAGCUCCUGCUCCGGUUCCAGUUUCUUACAGGGUAAGCCUAAGCCUUGGGUUGCUGCGAUCCUGCCUCUUCCUGUUGUUCCGCCAGCUUACGGGUGAUAGUGGCUUCCUGCUAUUAUUCAUCUCUGAACUGAAAGACACUAUUUUCUAGUUGUCUUUCCAGCUCUUCACCUAGCAUUCACCCUCACAGGUUCUGGAACAAGCUCCAAGGCAGAGGGAUGAUGGCCUGGCUGAGCCGCACCGCGCAGGCGCUCUUCCCCAGCGCAGACGCCCUGCUCUGUCCUGACAGUCCCGCGUUGCCCUCAAUCUGAAGGUAUGGAUA
rnacentral:lncRNA from 1 species